CUACGGGUCGCUGCAGUGGGGAAUAUUGGACAAUGGGCGCAAGCCUGAUCCAGCAAUGCCGCGUGAGUGAAGACGGCCUUAGGGUUGUAAAACUCUUUCGCUAGGGAAGAUAAUGACUGUACCUAGUAAAGAAGUCCCGGCUAACUCCGUGCCAGCAGCCGCGGUAAUACGGAGGGGACUAGCGUUGUUCGGAAUUACUGGGCGUAAGGAGUUCGUAGGCGGACUGACAAGUUAGAGGUGAAAUCCCAGGGCUCAACCCUGGAACUGCCUUUAAAACUGUCAGUCUAGAGACAGGAAGAGGUUAGGGGAAUACCUAGUGUAGAGGUGAAAUUCGUAGAUAUUAGGUGGAACACCAGUGGCGAAGGCGCCUAACUGGUCCGGUACUGACGCUGAGGAACGAAAGCGUGGGGAGCAAACAGGAUUAGAUACCCUCGUAGUC
rnacentral:rRNA from 1 species